AAUGAACGUUGGCGGCGUGGAUUAGGCAUGCAAGUCGCGCGCGGGCUCCUUCGGGAGUUCCGAGCGGCGGAAGGGAGAGUAACGCGUAGAUACCUACCCUCGGGACCGGAAUAGCGACGGGAAACUGUCGGUAAUGCCGGAUAACGUCCCUGGACCAAAGGUGUGAUUCCGCCUGAGGAGGGGUCUGCGUCCUAUUAGCUAGUCGGCGGGGUAACGGCCCACCGAGGCGAAGAUGGGUACCGGGCGUGAGAGCGUGGCCCGGCUCACUGGGACUGAGACACUGCCCAGACACCUACGGGUGGCUGCAGUCGAGAAUCUUCGGCAAUGAGCGCAAGCUUGACCGAGCGACGCCGCGUGCGGGAUGAAGGCUUUCGGGUUGUAAACCGCUGUCAGUGGGGAGGAAAUUCGGGGGAGCUAUCUCCUUCGAUUGACCGAUCCGCAGAGGAAGGACGGGCUAAGUUCGUGCCAGCAGCCGCCGUAAUA
rnacentral:rRNA from 1 species